AAUUGUAUCAUCCCAAAAUCUUUUUCAAAACUAUGACAAAAAAAAAAAAAUCUUUUUCAAAACCAUCAAUCGUAUCUUACCGGACCAACAAAAUUAAAUCUCCCCAAAUCUCUGUCCUCUAGAUCAAAAAUAAAGGAGCUUGAAAUUCUUUGCUGAUUGAUAAGGGGAAGAAGGUAGAUAGCUCAGAGAAAAGGAAGAGGGGGACGGGAAGCAGUAAAAAUCGUUUUGCUGUGAACACUGCUGGACUGAUCCUGUUCAAGCACAGUUGCUGCCCUAUUUUGCAUAAGUCGAGUGCGGUAGAGCAAUUACCUAUCCCUUUUUCCAUGCAUCUUAAUAUCCAGCUUCAGAGUCACUGUUCUCAUUGAAGAUGAGACUGAUCAAGCACAUGCAGUCUUAAUGGGCAAAGAAGCAGAAGAAAUCUUUGGAAUCUCAUGCGAAGACUUGAUUAUCAGGAAAAACUGCAAAAAACCAAAGGAUCAGACCACAAGAAAUUCUUCAAUUAGAAGGACAGUCAAACUGCUGAAAUUGAAGCCAGGAACAAAAAGAGAUUUCCUUAUAAAGGGGAUAUACAAAGAUGUUCACAAGUUCACACCAACCCAA